AUGGGGAAUGAGGUUCCUCUUCCACUUCCAGGAACAGGCGUUGGCCGGGUCUUCAGCGGUCACCGGCUUGAUCUGACCCUGCUGUCUCCAGCGAACACAAGUUCCUGCCAAGGGUUACAAGAAGCAUCCCAAAGGAGUGCUGUGCAUAAUGAGAGCCUUGACUGCAGGAAAAGGAAUGCUGUUUGUGAUGAUGCCAACAGAGAUACCCAAUCUUGGCACAAAACCACGCAAGUGAAGCCUUUACAAAAACAGAAAACCAAGCAGAGAGAUCUUCAGCUGAUAACGCCCUCUUUCCUGGGUAUACACACAGCAUAA
rnacentral:lncRNA from 1 species